rnacentral:rRNA from 1 species
AGAACGAACGCUGGCGGCAGGCUUAACACAUGCAAGUCGAACGCCCCGCAAGGGGAGUGGCAGACGGGUGAGUAACGCGUGGGAAUCUACCCAGCUCUACGGAACAACCCAGGGAAACUUGGGCUAAUACCGUAUACGUCCGAUAGGAGAAAGAUUUAUCGGAGUUGGAUGAGCCCGCGUUGGAUUAGCUAGUUGGUGGGGUAAUGGCCUACCAAGGCUACGAUCCAUAGCUGGUCUGAGAGGAUGAUCAGCCACACUGGGACUGAGACACGGCCCAGACUCCUACGGGAGGCAGCAGUGGGGAAUAUUGGACAAAUGGGCGAAAGCCUGAUCCAGCCAUGCCGCGUGAGUGAUGAAGGCCUUAGGGUUGUAAAGCUCUUUCAGUAGGGAAGAUAAUGACGGUACCUACAAGAAGAACGCCCCGACUAACUUCGCGCCAGCACGCCGC